UUCGAAUUCAAAUUUAGGAAUACCACAAUAAAAAAUAAAAGAAAGUUGAUGGAGGUGUAUUUCUUUAGCGCAACCCUACACUGGGAUCGGAACAUUCAAUUUCCACCCGGAAAAUGUCAAAAUUGAUAGCAUCGUCCUUGCUCGUAUUUCUAUUCUUCCUAGUUGAGUUUUCUUCAGUAUUCUCUAUCAGGAGGGAUGCAAGUCUUCAAGACAAAUAUACCUGUAGAACUACCGUUCAAGGAAGAUAUUUGAUUGCUGAUGAUAUGGGUCAAGUAUGUGAUGCACUCUCCAUUGAUCCCUAUUCUCGCUGCUGCCGUGGGAAAUCAGAUCGAUUUUCUUGUAAUGGUUGUAAUCUCGUUUCACAAUGUUGCAAUUCCUAUGAAUUUUGUGUUUCCUGUUGUCUCAAUCCCUCCAGGACACAAAAGGAUCUGGCUCUAAAUGUCAAGAUAUCUAACCCGAUAUCUGCAGGGACGUAUUCCAGUAUUUUUGAUUUUUGCACGGGAAGAUGUCGUCAUAAUUCAGAAAGUGUGGUUCAUGAAAACGCUUAUCUCAGUGAAUUUCAUCAUUGUUUCUCUAUACCGUCUAAUUCUUCCUCUGGUGGUGCUUCUGGUGUACAAACUGAAGCGAGGCUGGCUGGUAUAAGUAUUGUGAUAGGAAGACAAGGUGAAUCAUGCGAUUCGGUAUGUAAAUCAAGUGGUCAAUCUUGUGUUCCUAACAAAUUUGUAUUGCUCAAUCAGUGUGAAACCAUGCAUAAGUACUUGAGCUGCAAAGGUGGAUGUUUGGCAAGUGUUGGAGCUGAUCAGCCUGCUGAAGUAGUUGAUGAUGCUCCCAGAGAUCUGAACCCUGGUGCCUGCUUGUACACUUCGCAAGCAUCGGUGCUAUCUUGUGAGGGUUCGCAUCAGCAUACGAAGAGGCUAUGCCCCUGUGCAUAGUGUGCAGCUUAUAUGACUUAAUGUUUACAAGCUUGGGUAUGAUCAUAACUUCCACUCUCAUGUAAGAUUUUGUAAUAUACAUCUACAUUUGAGGCCUUCCUUUCCUUCCAUAUUUUCCACCAAAUGCAUGUUGGAGUUGUCGUUCGUGCCCCUUUAUGUUUCUUACUGAUGCCUCUUCCAUUUCAACUGAGUGGAAACUCCUGGAAGUCCUUCUUUUCAAAGUGAUAUGUUUCUCCUGGUUGAUGGUCAGAAAAACAUGUUCAACUUGUGGAAAUCUGCAAAGAAGGGGAAUCCUGCUAAACUCAAGAUGCUUCCUAUGUCAGGAGAAUGUAGAAUCCUAUGUCAGGAGAAUGUAGAAAAUAAUAGCCAUUUACUUUUGCACUGUUAAGUGACUGGCCAGUUGUGGCAGAUCUUUCUGAGUAUGACUGACCUGAAAUGGGUCAUGAGCCUACACUUAAAGCUGUGCAAUGCUGGAGCAAUGUGGGGGACAGGGGAAGGCAGAAGAAGUGGAUUUAUUCCAGCUUGUAUAUGGUGAAUUGUGUGGAGAGAGAGAAAUGCAAGGUGUUUUAAAACAGGAACAGCUCUAUACAGAGAAUUAAGAUGAAUUGUAUCCAGUCUUUGUAUUUUUUGGUGUAAAAGAAACUAUGUAGAGGAUACUGAAUCAUUACUAGAGUUUGUAGAAUCCUUGUAGAACAAGUUAAUUCUUUUACUUUUCUGAACUGUAAGUAUGGUGCCCAGCAUUUGAUGAAUACAAUGUUACCAUGCUUUUUUUAAAAAAAAAACACUCCCUGGAAAUUUCUGGCGCUGUCCACUUCAGCUUAAAGAACAUUACCAUAGCUGCAGGGGUACUAUUGCAGCGUAGAAAAAGGUAACAGUUAUUUUCCAUCUCUUUCUCUCAAAGGUAGCACCUGUUGCACGAGUUUAUCUUUAGUUUUAACCAGCCCCAUGUGCUGCCACUCAAGUCAAUCUACCUUGAGAGGAACAUGUGAAAUCUGCUUCCAAGGCCAUCUAAGCUGUGUUGGAUUCCUGCCUUUAAGUCCCAGCAACAAGAUUUAACAAUAAAUAUACCUGUCUGGUGUCCAAAAGAAUAUUUGUAUCAUCCUCCCUUCCUUGGCAUACCUGCAAUAACAAAAGAAAAUUGUUCAACCUUUAAAUUUUUCAAUCAUUUAGCUUUCUCAUCGUACUUAUAUGCAGUCCUGCUUCUGUGGAAUAAUGAACAUCUUGCUUCAGUGUCUUGCACUAUCUGGAAGAAGUCUGGCCAUCACUCCUUAAGUAGAUUAUUCCCUAUCCAUGUACUAUUCCAGAAGGAAAUUAUUCUACCAUACCUUAAAGCUGAUGCAUAUGAAAAUUCUUGCCAUUGACCUCUUAUGUGCUUCUGUACAUCAUAUCCAUGACGACCAGUUUCAUGGAGGUGCUCCAUAUGUUCAUUCAACAACAACAUACCCAGUGUGAUCCCACAAGUGGGGUCUGGGGAGGGUAGAGUGUAUGCAGACCUUAACCCUACUAGUUCCAUUAUUCCACGGUUUUAUUAAUCCAUUCCUCCACAAUGCUUCUUCCUCUUCUGAAUAUAUUCACGAUGUUUCUUUCUCUCCUGAAUACCUCCACAACCAUUUUGAUUAGUAAAUUUUCAUUUUGCAGCCUCAGAUUUUUUAUGCUCAAAUUACCCCCCUUUUUUAUUUCCUUGAUACAUUGUCUGAGCUUAUCAAAUUAAAUACCUUUCUUUCUUUGUUACCUUGUACCUUCUAAUAUAUCUAACCUUUUUCCCACCUUCAUCCUAAUUCGGAACAAUCUCACCACAUGUAGGCAAUGCAUCUAAUACACUGUUGACGAGCACCAGCCUUCCAACCAAAGAGACAUUUGGUGGGACUAUUUUGUUCAGACUUUAUUACCAUGGGUUUCAUUCACGAAACUGGUGCAAGAUAUGAUUCCUGAGUGGAAGAUAAAGCAGAUAACCACGGAGGUAUGAACUGGAAAUAGGGGCUGAUUUGUACAUCGAACAUUUUUGGGUUGGAAGUAGCAAACAAGGCUUCUGUUUCUUAAUUCUCUUACAGAAGAAAAUAGAAGCAGUUGAAUCAGAGAGAACAACCCCACUCCAGCCCCAGCCGUACAUACAAAGAGAAUAAAAGAGGCAGAUAGUUAUCAGAUGAUGAUGAAUGUGAAACAAAUGUACAGUGAUAGACUGAAAAAUAAGUAAUAUGAACAUAUCAGAAUUUUCUUAGUAGAUGUCUCUGUUGCUCUAUAGAUGUGUUUGUUGGUUUCAACUUUCAACUAGUUCUUGAUGUUUUUUUUUUCUUAGAGAUGGACAAUUUUUAUCAGUAGUGUUCUUUCAAGCAUC